UACGAAGGGGGCUAGCGUUGUUCGGAAUUACUGGGCGUAAAGGGCGCGUAGGCGGCGUGUCAAGUCAGGCGUGAAAGCCCCGGGCUCAACCUGGGAACCGCGCUUGAGACUGGCAUGCUCGAGUUCGGGAGAGGAUGGUGGAAUUCCCAGUGUAGAGGUGAAAUUCGUAGAUAUUGGGAAGAGCACCGAUGGCGAAGGCAGCCAUCUGGACCGACACUGACGCUGAGGCGCGAAAGCGUGGGGAGCAAACAGG
rnacentral:rRNA from 1 species